CACUGUACUAUUAGCAUGUGGGUGAUGAAGAGCCCUGCUGGAGCACAGCAUCCAUGUGCAGGCAGAGCUCAGGGCCUAAGUAGGUCCUGUGGUGACCCUUACACCACCACAGGGCUUCCCCUUGGCCACUGGGGAGAUCCCUUCUGUAGUUUGGGAUCCAUGGGAACGGUGUAGCAUAGGCUGUCCCUCAUGGGCAGCUUUCCUGUGCUACUUUGCAGACUUGAAGUGAGGGCAAGGAAAAUGCCAGACAGACCCCGACAUGCAUCAUCUGGCUCUGGAAAGACCUUAAGAUCCUCUUGGCUCUGAUGUUGCAGGUUGGGAACUUGCAAAUGUGUUUGGUCACUGGAACUGUGGGGAAGGGAGUUGGACAGCUGUCUGGGGACAAGGGCUUUUCCGCACACUUCUUCCAGAGGUGAGAGGAUGGUGGGCACAAGUAGGCCAUGCUGCGGGCUUCACAGUGAGCUUGAGAGUAAGGACCCCAAAUGCUGCAUAUGCAAGGCAGGGAUGCUCAGGCAUGUGCUAAACUAGGCCUUGGAAGACUGAGCCCAGUUCUACUGUAUUGAGAGAGUUUAUUGUGAAGAGAAAAAAAACAUGCUGUAUGGAUAACUGCAUUGAAAAGGCCUGCAAAGACAUCUGUAGAAUUGCUGUUUAGCUAAUAUGUAAGGUAGGGCGUUAAAGUGCUUGAGGGCAAGAUAUUAAGGUCAGUACUUAAGGUCAGAAGAGAAUAUGAUCAUUUUGUUGACCUGCAUGACACUGGCAAUAAUUCCUCGUUAAGCAGAUUUGAGGAAGAUGUUGGGUCUUGAUUUAAAGACUUGGUUAAUGGGGGAAUAAAUACCUCAGGGGGACAUGGGAUUGGAAGGGAAUUCCUAGGUUACUGAGUCCAGCCCCGUGCCAUUAUGUGCACUUCGCCAUAUCCCAACAAAGCUCCAGCUUGGAACUAGUUGGGAUUUCUUUGGUUCCAGAACCUCACUAUUCUGGUCGAAAACCUUCUAAAUAUACCUGUGGCUGACUUGGGCCUUUUGUUUUUGUGCGACCCUUGGGCAUUUUUACACACGUGGGCACUUUGAAAAGCGCCUGGCGCUGCGACACUUGCAGUUGUAUGAGCAGUGAAAUGCAUGUCAGAGCUGAGAAAAUGGCGGUGGUGUGCUUUUGAACUAAAA